UUCCUCACCACUUCCAAUGUGUUCUCUUCUACCUCUCCUUAAACAUGAAAAGAAAUCACACAAACCUUUUCAAAAAUAGAUCUAGUGAUUAAGGACCAUGAUGAACACAUAAACAUUCUUCUUUGUCAUUUGAAAUGAGAGAAUCAUGAUGAACACCAUUCAUCAAUUUUUUUCAGAAAAAAUUUAAAUUCAUCUUUAAUCCCUAA
rnacentral:lncRNA from 1 species